rnacentral:rRNA from 1 species
CCUGGUUGAUCCUGCCAGUAAUCAUAUGCUUGUCUCAAAGAUUAAGCCAUGCAUGUCUAAGUACAUGCCGAAAUAAGGCGAAACCGCUAAUGGCUCAUUAAAUCAGUUAUGGUUCCUUAAUCGUUUUUCUUCCUACUUGAUAACUGGAUGUGGCAAUUCUAGAGCUAAGUACAUGGCACGUGACCUUGGGAGCCCUUUGGGUUAAGCGGGUGCUUGUAUAGACAAGAUCGACGGGUUUCGGGCCCGUAUGGGUGGGUCGGACUCUGGAUAACUGUUGUGCGAUCCAAUGCCCACCGAGCCGGCGACGUUUCUUCUUCCAAGUGCCUGCCUCUGUAUCAACUUUCGAUGGUAGGUUACUUGCUUACCAUGGUUGUUACGGGUAACGGAGAAUCAGGGUUCGAUUCCGGAGAGGGAGCCUGAGAAACGGCUACCACGAUCCAAGGAGAGGCAGGCAGGCGCGCAGCAAUUACCCACGCCGGCACGGGGGAGUAGUGACGAAAAAAACAAUACGGGACAUGCUCUUUUGAGGCCCCGUAAUUGAAAUGAGUACACUCUAAAUCCUUUAACGAGGAUCAAUUGGAGGGCAAGUCUGGUGCCAGCAGCCGCGGUAAUUCCAGCUCCAAUAGCGUCGAUACAAAGCUGUCUGCGGUUAAAAAGCUCGUAGUUGGAUCUCAGUUCCAGACGAGUAGUGCAUCUACCCGAUGCGACGGCUCGGACUGAACAUCAUGCCGGUUCUUUCUUGGUGCACUUCAUUGUGUGCCUCGAGAUGGCCGGUGCUUUUACUUUGAAAAAAUUAGAGUGCUCAACGCAGGCGAGUCGCCUGAAUAAAUAGACUUGGCAAAUGAUAGAACAAGACCUCGUUUCUGUUCUGUUGGUUUUUGGAAUACGAGGUAAUGAUUAAGAGGGACGGACGGGGGCAUUCGUAUUGCGGAGCUAGAGGUGAAAUUCUUGGACCGUCGCAAGACGAACUACUGCGAAAGCAUUUGCCAAGAAUGUGUUUUCAUUGGAAGUCAAGAACAAAAGUCGAGAGGUCAUAAGCUAUCAGAUACGCCUAGUUCUGACCAUAAACAAUGCCAACCAGCGAUCCCGCCCUGCGAUUAGCGUCAAAAUGACUCGGCGGGCAGCUGCUGUCCCCGGGGAAACAAAGUUAUGUUGGGUUCCGGGGAAUAUGGUUGCAAAAACUGGAAAGCUUAAAGGGAAUUGAGCGGAAGGGCACCACCAGGAGUGAGCAUGGCGGCUUCUAAUGUUGAUCACCCACGGGAAAACCUUAGACCCGCUCCCGGACACUGGGAGGAUUGACAGAUUGAGAGCUCUUUCUUGAUUCGGUGGAUGGUGUGCAUCGCCGUCGCUUAGUGGGUGGAGCGAUUUGUCAUGUCUAAGUUUCCGAUAACGACCGCGAGCACUCUAGCCUAUAACAUAGUGGCGGGUCCCAGCACCUGUACAACCUCCCUUAGAGGGAGCAAGCGGCUCCUAGCCGCACGAAACAGAGCAAUAACAGGUCUGUGAUGCCCUUAGAUGUCCGGGGCCGCACGCGCGCUACACUGAAGGAAGCAGCGUGUCUUUAUCCCUGUCUGAAAAGACUGGGUAACCCGUGGAACUUCUUUCGUGAUUGGGAUAGGGGCUUGCAAUUGUUCCCCUUGAACGAGGAAUUCCCAGUAAGCGCGAGUCAUAAGCUCGCGUUGAUUACGUCCCUGCCCUUUGUACACACCGCCCGUCGCUACUACCGAUUGAAUGAUUUAGUGAGGUCUUCGGACCAUGUCGGCCGCGCCUCUUCGGUUGCCGCGGUCAGUCUGGAAAGAUGACCGAAACUUGGAUAUUCUAGAGGAAGUAAAAAGUCGUACAAGGUUUCGCGUAGGUAACCUGCGAAGG